rnacentral:rRNA from 1 species
CCUACGGGUGGCAGCAGUCGAGAAUCAUUCACAAUGGGGGAAACCCUGAUGGUGCGACGCCGCGUGGGGGAAUGAAGGUCUUCGGAUUGUAAACCCCUGUCAUGUGGGAGCAAAUUAAAAAGAUAGUACCACAAGAGGAAGAGACGGCUAACUCUGUGCCAGCAGCCGCGGUAAUACAGAGGUCUCAAGCGUUGUUCGGAAUCACUGGGCGUAAAGCGUGCGUAGGCUGUUUCGUAAGUCGUGUGUGAAAGGCGCGGGCUCAACCCGCGGACGGCACAUGAUAGUGCGAGACUAGAGUAAGGGAGGGGGAAGCGGAAUUCUCGGUGUAGCAGUGAAAUGCGUAGAUAUCGAGAGGAACACUCGUGGCGAAGGCGGGUUCCUGGACAUUAACUGACGCUGAGGCACGAAGGCCAGGGGAGCGAAAGGGAUUAGAUACCCGUGUAGUC